rnacentral:rRNA from 1 species
UACGUAGGGGGCAAGCGUUGUCCGGAAUUAUUGGGCGUAAAGAGCGUGUAGGCGGUCCGGUAAGUCAGCUGUGAAAGUCAAGGGCUCAACCCUUGAAUGCCGGUUGAUACUGUCGGGCUAGAGUCCGGAAGAGGCGAGUGGAAUUCCCGGUGUAGCGGUGAAAAUGCGCAGAUAUCGGGAGGAACACCAAUGGCGAAGGCAGCUCGCUGGGACGGUACUGACGCUGAUGCGCGAAAGCUAGGGGAGCGAACGGG